AAAAAUGUUGGCAAAACAUUCCAUCUGAUGAAGUAUUGUUCUGUAAAAUAUACAAAAAACUCAACAAGAAAACAUAAACCCAAUUAAAAAGUGGAUUAACACCUGAACCAAAGAAGGUAUAUAGAUGCAAAUGCCAGAAACUGCCAACCCAGCCCAGGUCUCCCAUUAGACGGCAAAGAUAUAACUACUCGAACCAUCACCUGCAACCUCCCAGGCUCUGCCUUAGCAGGAAGUUGGAAUUGGAAGUAGAGCUGAAACUUGAGCCCAGCUACAGCCUUUCAUACCAGAUUGUGUUAACAAGAAUAAAGAAAUAGAGACAGAUUCGCCUAGCUGGGUUCACUGAAACACAAUACCUGGUCACUGGGGCCACAAUUUCAGAAGCAGUGGGCUAGCAUGUCGAAGGAAAGACAGGCUUGUUUAGCCAUGUCCCAGCAGACAACAAUAUAUAGUUGGAAGGUCUAGCUAUUGACUAUCAAUGAACCCCUACAUACUCCACUAAUUAUUCUAAUUAUUAGAGUUGUUAGAAUCCUAUUAUUCAGAGUUGCUCUGAACCAUCCUGGGAUGCUUUGGUGG